UUUUUUCUUCUUGUGGGAUGGUUUAAGCAUUGCCAAUUGGACUUGUACCUUGGUAAGUGGAAAAUUGUUCUAGUUCCACAAGUUUAUUGGAUUUUAAUGAAUACCAUUUAUUUCAGCUUUCAUUAUUGUCUGCGCCACUGGCUGGUCUGAAAUUUUCGGCCUACAUUUUAUGGUGUUUCUUCCUUGCCUAUUUCCCUAAUUUAAAAGGUUGUAGAUAAUUAGGGAUCACUGCAGGGAUUAUAGUAUUAGUAGUGCAGAUAGCAGGAAGCCAGCCCAUGUAUUAUUUGGUUGAACUAAAUAUUGUCAGCAGCAAUAUUUCAUGUCCAUCAUCAUUUAGAAAUGCUCAUGAAAGGGCUAGAUUAGAUUUCUUGUAAGAUUUCAUAUUGUGUUUGAUAUUGCCACUAGGAGAGGCAAUGUCUGUGUUUUGGCCACCAAGGUAACGUUACACCUACUGGCGGUUCCAUAUCUUAGGCAAUUUUGAAGCCUUGCUCCUGUGCCCUGUAAAAUUUUGUGCAGGUGUUGCCUGUGCCUGAGUUGUAUAAAUUUUGUAAAAUUAUUUUCAGUUUGGUUUGUUGAAUUUCCCCAGCCGAAGAUAGCAUUAGAUUGGAUCCUUUAAGAUAGAAAAAUGUGUUAUAGACCUUAUGGUGUAAUAUUUGCAUCAGCAUGACGAGAAUAUUAUUAAUGUUAUUUUCAUACCUGUACACGAUCAGUGAUGGUGACCUAGAAUCAUCAUCUAUUAAAGGGGUAGCUUUUGUUGGAGAUAAUAAUGUGGGAACCAUGCCUAAGGUAUUUGGAAUCUGCCAGUUGUAAAUGUUCCACCAUCACUGAUGGUGUGCCACUAGACUUCGACCAUGGAAAUGCUAAUUUCUGAGGUUUGACAAUGGCCGCUCCAUUGGCGAAGGCAUCUCCCUUUAAUCUCCUCUUUUUGUCCUUUUUCUUUUCUUUAUCCAACUUUUAGGGUAAAUUAUGUAGAAG
rnacentral:misc_RNA from 1 species